GACGAACGCUGGCGGCGUGCUUAACACAUGCAAGUCGAACGGUGAAGGGACUGGUUUUGCUGGUCCUGGAUGAGUGGCGAACGGGUGAGUAACACGUGAGUAACCUGCCCCCUUCUUCUGGAUAACCGCAUGAAAGUGUGGCUAAUACGGGAUAUUCUGGGUCUGUCGCAUGGUGGGCCUGGGAAAGAUUGCGCCUUUUUUGGUGUUUUUGGUGGGGGGUGGGCUCGCGGCCUAUCAGCUUGUGGGUGGGGUGAUGGCCUACCAAGGCGGUGACGGGUAGCCGGCCUGAGAGGGUGGACGGUCACACUGGGACUGAGACACGGCCCAGACUCCUACGGGAGGCAGCAGUGGGGAAUAUUGCACAAUGGGCGCAAGCCUGAUGCAGCGACGCCGCGUGAGGGAUUGAGGCCUUCGGGUUGUGAACCUCUUUCGCCAGUGAAGCAGGCCUGCCUCUUUUUGUGGGUGGGUUGACGGUAGCUGGAUAAGAAGCGCCGGCUAACUACGUG
rnacentral:rRNA from 1 species